AGUGAACGCUGGCGGUAGGCCUAACACAUGCAAGUCGAACUGCAGCACAGUAAGAGCUUGCUCUUACGGGUGGCGAGUGGCGGACGGGUGAGGAAUACAUCGGAAUCUACUUUUUCGUGGGGGAUAACGUAGGGAAACUUACGCUAAUACCGCAUACGACCUACGGGUGAAAGCAUGGGAUCUUCGGACCUUGCUCGAUUGAAUGCGCCGAUGUCGGAUUAGCUAGUUGGCGGGGUAAAGGCCCACCAAGGCGACGAUCCGUAGCCGGUCUGAGAGGAUGAUCAGCCCCAAUGGAAGUGAGAAACGGUCCAGACUCCUACGAGAGGCAGCAGUGGGGAAUAUUGGACAAUGGGCGCAAGCCUGAUCCAGCCAUACCGCGUGAGUGAAGAAGGCCUUCGGGCUGUAAAGCACUGUUGUUGGGUAAGAAAAGCAGAAGGUUAAUAACCAGCUGUUCUGACGGUACCAAAAGAAUAAGCACUGGCUAACUUCGUG
rnacentral:rRNA from 1 species